CUUGAACGAGCCCAGCCACAGCGGCCGGUCGGCGGGCCGGUCGCGCCCGUAGGUCGCCAGCAGCGCCUGCGCCUC
rnacentral:antisense_RNA from 1 species